ensembl:lncRNA
GCUUAAAGGGGCUGAACGGAGACCUCAGCUGUAGCAUAUGUGACAACUGUCCUUGAAUGAGCAAAGUCAAGUCCAAAGCUGUGAGCCACACUUUAACUCCUGCACAGUCAGUGUUCACAUGGACCUCUGAGGAGACAGUAAGACAGUCCUGGAUUCUUCUUCAACAAGGACUGUUUGUUUUGUGAUUUCUGCUGCGGGACAGGGCUGAAUGUGUUCCUGAGGCAAGGUAGGGCCGUGUGGGUGUAUGUGCAAGUGUUUCGGCUUGAGGAUAUUACCUCAUUGCGGAUAAGCCGUGAUUGAAGAGGUCUGACAGAGGUCUGAGCCUGUGACUUCAUUACUCCUCGGCUCUUAUCUGGGAGACUUUGGGUUCAGGGGGGAAGUUUUGACAGCCAGCCUUACAGCCCUCUCCACUUUGUCAGUCCUGACAGACAGAGAGAGAGACGAGUUUAGAGCGUGAAGAGCUAGUGACUUCAUCCGCUCCUUAACCAGCCCUCCACUUUUCCCCUCCUUUUUUCAACUUUUUUUCUCAGUGCAGUCAGGCAGCAUGCCAGCAGUUUUCAUCCUGCUGCGGACCCUGGUUAUCAGCUCGUCAGUAGCAGACUGGCUGGCUCAGUGGCACAGUUCCUCAGGAGAGCCCUCUCUACAGGCGCUGCUCACAUUGGCACAGCACUUCGCCACGUCUGGGACCGGCUCCGAUCCCAGGAGUCAAAGGAAGCCAUCCUAGGCUGCGUGCUGUGCAUUCUUAACAUGCACAAGAAGGUGGAGAGCUAAGCUCCCAGCCCACUUUCACUUGGAGGCUACAAUUGCCUGCUGAACAGACUGACAAGCAGAACUGGUAAGAGAGGACUCAAUGAAGGGAUGUGAAUAACUUUGUUCUGAGGAUCAUUUGGACCACAGACUUUGGACAAUAUUGUGUUUGGGACCGGGCCAUGUCUGAGAGCAUAGUGAGGAAGGUCCAGCCCUUUACGAUUGGGACACGGCUGUCAGUCCCUGCUGUGUCAAAGUGUCAGGACUAUUCACCAAAUUAUCUUCAAAGCCCUAGUUUGGAUAACUGCACGCUUCAGCACAGCUUGAACUCUCUGUACCUCAGUCGCUCGCAGGUCUGUGCACAUGGGCCACGUGUGGUGUCACCGGUCGUUCAGUCUCUGUCUCCAGUCACACAGGAGGACAUGGCAGCGGAGGACCACCUAAACCAAAACAUCACUUCAGCCGCUGCAGUGGCCAGGUCCAUCAAGAAGAUCACAAUAUCUGGACACAAGGACAGAGCAGAAAACAAGACCGCCUGCGUUUUUGUGCCCGUUUCACCUGAAAACAACAAUAACAACAACAAUGUCAACAGCCCCACAGAACAGAGUUUACCCAGGAUUGUAGGAGUGAGUUGUGAGAAUAAACCAAACUCUCAGUUCAAGGUGCUACUAAGAAAGGAAGGCGGCAAUGGACAGACAUCGAUGCAAUCCAAGUCUAAAGUGAACGAAGAGCACCUAUUCAGCAGGUGAGAUGCUCGAUAAUGCUUAUUUUGUCAGCUUUUAAAUUAGCAUUUUAUUGCAGCCAUAUCAGAAAAGACGCACACUCUAGUAGCACGUGUUAGAAGACGCUAGUUUGUCUUCGCUAGCUGACUGCGUCCGGAAAGUAAUAAUAUUUGUGGUAGAAGCUCAAAUUAACCUUAC